AAAUGUGUUGGGUGAAGAGUAAAUUCCAACAACAAAAUUGAUCCCAUAUUCUGAGUGCGCAUUGCAUUUUGCAACAGGAAAGUUUUGAAUUUGUGAAUUAGGAAUGGCGACGGAAGCUUAUGCAGCUGAAGGAAACGGUGACAAAAUCCAGUCUGAUGUCCUCAUCAAAGCCAGAGAAUCUUGCUACAAGGCUCGUGAUGCUUUCUACUCAUGCAUCGAAAAUAAAUGUGACAAGAAGCCAACAGAAAUUGCAACAGUGGGUUUGCUUUACCCCAAAGAAUGCCAACAAUCCAGGAAUCAAUUCGUCAAACAGUGCCGAUCUUCUUGGGUGAAACAUUUUGAUAGACAAUAUUGUCAGAACAAAAAGGCUCAGCAGAGGCUUUUGGAUGAUAAAGGCAGCAGGAGAGGUCCGUUGUCACUCCCAAAGCCUUACACUCUCAAACCCACUCCUUGAUUUUCAUGAACCACUCCUCUGGCAGUAGUAGCAGUAGUAUUAGUAGUAGUAAAUAAUGGGGGUGUAAAAUUUAAAGAUCAACUUGGCCCCUGACAAAGAUGUACUUCACUUCGUCGUCUUUUUAUGGGUGGAACUUGGAAGUGGAAUACUUAUCUGAAUCAGUUGCAAAUAGAAGCUUUAGAAUGGCUUUCAUGCUUUGCUUUCAGCGUAUUUGAAUCUUGAAUAUUGCUUUAAUGUUUCGGUGUUCUUAGCUUUACAAUGAUUAGUUUGUACCUAAUAAUAACUGGUAUUCAUUGCCGCAAGACUUGACUAUUCAAAAUGUACUGACUUCGAUAAUUUAUAUUUUCUUUUGCUUCAA